rnacentral:rRNA from 1 species
AUACGAAGGGGGCUAGCGUUGUUCGGAAUCACUGGGCGUAGAGCGCGCGUAGGUGGAUCAAUUAGUUGAGGGUGAAAUCCCGGGGCUCAACCUCGGAACUGCCUUCAAUACUGUUGAUCUUGAGACCGAGAGAGGUGAGUGGAAUUCCUAGUGUAGAGGUGAAAUUCGUAGAUAUUAGGAAGAACACCAGUGGCGAAGGCGGCUCACUGGCUCGGUACUGACGCUGAGGUGCGAAAGCGUGGGGAGCAAACAGGAUUAGAAACCCUAGUAGUCC